rnacentral:lncRNA from 1 species
AACUUUUUGUUUUCAUGAUGUUGCAAAAAUGAUAUUUAUUCAACAUAAGCCAUACUUUGAAUUUUGAUCUUUUCCUGGUCUAGUGAGCACAAUGCUCUCUCACUGGGCUGGGCAGCAGUAGAGAGCCGCAUGUCCCAGUCAGCCCCACAGUUACAAAGGGAAACAAGCGAUACUCUACAGUGCUCUCUGCAGCUGAGCUAUGAUGUUCAGUAGGUUAGGUGUAUUCAAUGCAUUUUCAAUUUACCGUAUUCUCAACUUCUACUUGGGUUUGUUGGACUGAAUCUUAUUUUAAGCAGUUAGAAGAGUGGUAACCUAUUACAUGGAACGGAAAACUAAUACAGACAAAUUGUGAUGUAAUUUUUAAAAGAUACCUUAAUCUCCAGUUCAGUCAAAGGGGCUGGAGGAAGGCAUUUUCAAUACAUUAGAUGCCUUUGAGGGUAUUAGCUUUAUAGGUGGCACAGUAUAUCUUUAUGCUUUGAAGACUUGAAUGAGCACAUUUUCAUUUGAAUUCUAAACAGUCCGAAGACUCAUUUCUUAUUGGGAACCUGUCAACUUUAAAUACUUCUAAAUAGAUGUUCACUUUCUAUUUCCAAUUGAUAAAACAAGACUAGUCUGUUUAUUAACAAUAUAGAAUGUGUUUCCCACAGAAGACCAAUACUGAUCACAUUCCCCAAAAACAAGAUCAGAUUUCAGCGUACUGCAAAGAGAGAAACUUUGUGGACAACAACCACUCUGUCCCCAGCGCAGCUAGUGGGAUUGUCUCAAUGGGCUGGCUGAUGUGACUAAUAGAGGUGACCAAGGUUUGGUGAGGAAAUGCCAAAGGCAUUAUAUUUUAGCUGGAUCUCUGCAAGUCUUAAAAAUGCAAAUAUCUCUCUACUUUAAUUUCCUAAUUAUUUCUCUUGGCCUGUAUGUAGAAAGUCAAGUGGUACAUCAGACAAUGGACUCAGAAGAGGAAGUGAACAGAUAACACUCAAGAAUGAAAGGUCAGUGCUGAUGCCAAAGUCAAGAUCCAAGUCUAAGAAGAAUAAAAGAUUGCUGUGGUGGAAAGAACAUGAACCUGUUUGCUCCUUUGUGGAAUCAGAGUUGACCAGAGAACCAGGAGAAAGAGGCCGAAGGUCAAAUGAUUUUGACUUGUUUGGAGCCUAAAAAGAAGGUGAAGGAUUAUUAACACAUGACAUGACAAGAAAAUGGGGAAAGACAGCAGCAGCCUUCAGAUCCUGCGGCGACACAAAAUGAGGUCCUGAUAACCGCUCCGGAGAAGAGAAGGAAAAAUGAGUUCCAAGAUCUCUCACAUUAUUUCACAAGGAGUCCUGGAAACAAGGCUGAGUAUUAUUCAUUGGAAUUUUUCCCCCAUUGUUCUCACUCAUUAAAACCUGCUUUGUUUUGUCUUCCUCUGAGACUGUUUGAAUUGUAGAUUCUGAAGCCCUUUGAACUUUGUGCUGUGAUAAUAGUUGGGUAGAAAACACAUGCCACAUACAACUGUGGAUCUGAGAUUGGGGACUUCUGGUAG